GGGGUGAUGAGUUUGAGAAGCUGUAUACCAAGUACGAGGUGGAGGGUAAAGCAAAGAAGGUGAUUCCUGCACAAAAUCUGUGGUUUGAGAUUCUGAAAUCCCAGAUAGAAACUGGAAACCCGUAUAUGCUCGUCAAGGAUACUUGCAACAGAAAAAGUAACCAGCAGAACCUGGGAACUAUUAAAUCUUCAAAUUUGUGCACAGAGAUAAUUGAAUAUA